rnacentral:rRNA from 1 species
AGAGUUCGAUCCUGGCUCAGGAUGAACGCUGGCGGCGCGCCUAACACAUGCAAGUCGAACGGCACCUAUCUUCGGAUAGAAGCGAGUGGCGAACGGCUGAGUAACACGUGGAGAACCUGCCCCCUCCCCCGGGAUAGCCGCCCGAAAGGACGGGUAAUACCGGAUACCCCGGGGUGCCGCAUGGCACCCCGGCUAAAGCCCCGACGGGAGGGGAUGGCUCCGCGGCCCAUCAGGUAGACGGCGGGGUGACGGCCCACCGUGCCGACAACGGGUAGCCGGGUUGAGAGACCGACCGGCCAGAUUGGGACUGAGACACGGCCCAGACUCCUACGGGAGGCAGCAGUGGGGAAUCUUGCGCAAUGGGGGGAACCCUGACGCAGCGACGCCGCGUGCGGGACGGAGGCCUUCGGGUCGUAAACCGCUUUCAGCAGGGAAGAGUCAAGACUGUACCUGCAGAAGAAGCCCCGGCUAACUACGUGCCAGCAGCCGCGGUAAUACGUAGGGGGCGAGCGUUAUCCGGAUUCAUUGGGCGUAAAGCGCGCGUAGGCGGCCCGGCAGGCCGGGGGUCGAAGCGGGGGGCUCAACCCCCCGAAGCCCCCGGAACCUCCGCGGCUUGGGUCCGGUAGGGGAGGGUGGAACACCCGGUGUAGCGGUGGAAUGCGCAGAUAUCGGGUGGAACACCGGUGGCGAAGGCGGCCCUCUGGGCCGAGACCGACGCUGAGGCGCGAAAGCUGGGGGAGCGAACAGGAUUAGAUACCCUGGUAGUCCCAGCCGUAAACGAUGGACGCUAGGUGUGGGGGGAGAUGUCCC